CCCUAAUUACAUGGAUAACACGGAUACUUUUCUGCAGAAAGCUAUCAAGUCUCCACUCUGAGUAGUUCCCAGGUCCGGCUUGCCUAGAGGCUCUCCCCUAGAAAACAAAGCAAUGCUUACCUGUUUACGCUCUACCACUCUGGGCACACGCUGAGGGGAUUCACUACUCCUACAGAACUGGAAGCUGCUGGCCGUUUGACAUGCGUGCCUGCUUUUGUGUGAAGCCUCUGAAUGCCCUCUGGACAUGAAGAUAAUCCGAGGAAGAGUGGAUGGAGGAAGAAGAACAAACGGUGAGCUCCCUGGCAAAUGGAGAAGGCAGCUGCAGAGUGAAAACUGGUAGAAGAAGCACUGCACCGAGGAUGAACGCAGGUGUACCAAAUGAAGUGUCCUUAGUCUCUACUCAGUCAAAUGCCAGUGCUGGCUUCCAUCUCCCUCUGUUUUCAUAGCCAAAUACCUGAGCUUAGCGCAGAUGCGCCACUAACAACAAUCUGCAGCCAUGCCACUAUAUAAAUGCUAAUAAUUUCACAUUAGGUGGCCAGCCUACCCUCAGCAAAGAAUCUUUGGGAAUUUCUUAGUAAUGAAAAAUGCCUAAGGCCAGUUCUCUUGCCUCAAAAGCACACACUGAGCUCAAAGGACAGAGUUUCCUCUACUUAAACAGGCAUUUCUGUGGCAGGCGGAACAAGGGAUUACUGACAUGAAAACCACAACCCGCUAGCGGGCAAUUCUAUCUCCACUCAACACUGAGAAGACAGGGUAUGUUCUUACCAACUAGUUUGAUUAAGUCUUCUUUCAACAAUUAAGUCCUCUUUCAACAAAAAGCCAAAUGUCAGAAGCCAAACACAGACAACUAGCAGUUAGCCCUGCGAUGAGGCAUCAGUAGACAAGCUAAAUUCGCUGUCUCAUUUUCCUGUCUGCAAUACUGCCGUAACAGAAAUGAUGGUACGCUUUUCUGCGUCCCUUUAAAUAAAAAGAUAUCAGAACAAGAAAUGAGCCCUACAAUGAAUCGUUAAAGGCCUAUGCACCCCAAAAGACCACUUCUCCUCCCCAUGCUGUAUUUUCAUAGCUGCUUUAAAAAUGAAUUGAUCUUAUUCUGAGAGAGAGUGGUCAGGAGGAUAUUCUCUGUUGGGGGCUUCCCUUUUUUUCUUCCCAUGCGUUAUCCAAAAUAGCUCAAAACCAGCGAAUUUCCAGGCGUGCUGCAGAAGAUAUUUGUUCAUUAGGAUCUUCAGAGAAGGCAGAGGGUGCACUAAAUAAAUAAAGAAGAGCCUAGAUUGAAACGCUGUUGGGUGAGAUGAGUUAUGUGAGCACACCUAGAGCCCUGGAUAAACAAUCUAAUUAUCCAAACACGUGUACAUCCAACUCCAAUUUCUGUGGCAGGCUCAAGGUAGUACUUUAAUGCAAAUAAAAAAAAUAGAUUACUUAAAACAAUGCAUACCGUUUAAGCCAGCAGAAGAACAGCAAUGCCUCUGCAAAACUUUGCUUUGUUGGUGUUAAUAUCUAGAUUGAAUGAACUUACUGUUCCAAAGAGAUGUCAGAGGAGACUCAAUUCUUCUGUUUAGCAAUAGAAGAAAGAAUAGUCCGCUAUUAAACAGGUUAAAUCUACCAACCAAUCUCCUGUCGGCCUCUGAACUACUGUCAGCUAGCAAGUACUACAGAAGAGUAUUUUGCUAUGUAGAUAGUUUAAGCUACGAAAAAGAUUUUGAUGAUGACAGAAAGAAGCGCACACAACACUACUUAUCAUCUACGUUACAGGGUUUUUUUUUUCUAUAUUUACGGUAUAAAAAGAUUUUAGAGGACUUCUAUUAAAGCUACUGCAGGGCGUUAUCUAACGAGGGAUGUUUUUUGGGGGGAGGGGGUUUGGGCUUUUAACAAACACCAGGAAGCUUACAGUUCCUUAAAAGGUGGGACCCAGCACGCCCUUAGAAAUUGGUUUACUCAGAAGC